UCGCCUGUUUAUCAAAAACAUAACCUUUAGCCAAACAAGUAUUAAAGGCAAUGCCUGCCCAGUGAGUACAUCUUCAACGGCCGCGGUACCCUAACCGUGCAAAGGUAGCGUAAUCACUUGUCUAUUAAUUGUAGACUAGUAUGAAAGGCCACAUGAGAGCCAAACUGUCUCUUAUAAUAAAUCAAUUAAACUGAUCUUCUAGUACAAAAGCUAGAAUAACUAUAUAAGACCAGAAGACCCUGUGAAGCUUAAACUAAACUAUUAAACCUACUAAUAGCUAAUUUCGGUUGGGGCGACCUUGGAACAAAACAAAACUUCCAAACAAAAUGAGCCUUACCUCAUAACCGCAGGCCAACAAGCCAACCAACGACCCAGUAUAACUGAUCAUUGAACCAAGUUACUCCAGGGAUAACAGCGCUAUCUUCUUCAAGAGCCCAUAUCAAAAAGAAGGUUUACGACCUCGAUGUUGGAUCAGGACACCCAAAUGGUGUAGCCGCUAUUAACGGUUCGUUUGUUCAACGAUUAACAGUCCUACGUGAUCUGAGUUCAGACCGGA
rnacentral:rRNA from 1 species